rnacentral:rRNA from 1 species
CCUACGGGCGGCAGCAGUGGGGGAUAUUGCACAAUGGGGGAAACCCUGAUGCAGCGACGCCGCGUGGGUGAAGAAGCGCCUCGGCGCGUAAAGCCCUGUCAGCAGGGAAGAAAAUGACGGUACCUGAAGAAGAAGCCCCGGCUAACUACGUGCCAGCAGCCGCGGUAAUACGUAGGGGGCAAGCGUUAUCCGGAUUUACUGGGGGUAAAGGGGGCGCAAACGGCGAUGCAAGCCAGGAGUGAAAGCCCGGGGCCAAACCCCGGGACUGCUCUUGGAACUGUGUGGCUAGGGUGCAGGGGGGGAAGGCGGAAUUCCGGGGGUGGCGGGGAAAUGCGAGGAUAUCAGGGGGAAAACCGGGGGCGAGGGCGGCCUGCUGAACUGCAACUGAGGUUGGGGCCCGAAAGCGUGGGGGGCAAACAGGAUUAGAUACCCUUUAGUC